UGCAGCCGUGACUGACGCACCUUGAUAUCCGCUUCGUGGACUGUUUACAUUGCGUUGCAAACGCGUGACGACCGUGUCAUGCCGAACCGUAAAUAUGGAGCUCUAGUAUGUCUGCGCGGGCCUACGUGCGUUAGUGUGAUGGCGUUUAUCUUUUGCGUGCGCCGUUCGUGUGCGGUAUACAAAAACCAGCUUACGUUGAUUGCGUGAUCUUCUCUUUGUCUCAACAAACGCGACGGGCUGGCCAUAUCCCCUUCCGUCGAAGGAGCUGUUGUUUGCCUAAGAAGAUGUGAAUGUGAGCACUAACAACAACACAGGCAUGUACAAAAACUCCACUGUAGCAUAUUGACCAGGUGUCCAGUUAUACGUAAGAUGUCCAUACCCAGAGGAUGAGGGGGAAAACCUCUCUUCCUCCAUUAUCACAUGAUACUGUUGUGUUACUCCGGCUUGAAGUCAGCAAUUAAGGUACCUGGAAAGAGGUAAGAGAGUGCCACACAGCUCAUCCAACAACCGUAUUGGUCCCUCAUUGGUAUUGAUCCGUAUUGGUCGUAUGUUAUCAGCAAAUAAUGGCUCGAGUCCCUGCGCAGUCUCUAGAGGAUGUCCAGUGCAAGUUGAACUGGUCCAACACAGCCGUACACCAGAGAUAUGGUAAUGGUUGGUAAGAUUUUUCUUUUCUUUUUUUUGUAAUG